rnacentral:rRNA from 1 species
UACGGGGGGGGCAAGCGUUGUUCGGAAUUACUGGGCGUAAAGGGCUCGUAGGCGGCCAACUAAGUCAGACGUGAAAUCCCUCAGCUUAACUGGGGAACUGCGUCUGAUACUGGAUGGCUUGAGUUCGGGAGAGGGAUGCGGAAUUCCAGGUGUAGCGGUGAAAUGCGUAGAUAUCUGGAGGAACACCGGUGGCGAAGGCGGCAUCCUGGACCGACACUGACGCUGAGGAGCGAGAGCCAGGGGAGCAAACGGG